rnacentral:rRNA from 1 species
CGGUAAUACCAGCUCUCCGAGUGGUAGGGACAAUUAUUGGGCUUAAAGCGUCCGUAGCCGGCUUAGCAAGUCUUCUGUUAAAUUCAGCGACUUAAUCGUUGAGCCGCGGGAGAUACUACUAGGCUAGGAGGCGGGAGAGGCCGACGGUAUUCCCGGGGUAGGGGUGAAAUCCUAUAAUCCCGGGAGGACCACCAGUGGCGAAGGCUGUCGGCUAGAACGCGCUCGACGGUGAGGGACGAAAGCUGGGGGAGCGAACCGGAUUAGAUACCCGGGUAGUCCCAGCCGUAAACGAUGCGGGCUAGGUGUUGAGGUGGCUACGAGCCACUUCAGUGCCGCAGGGAAGCCAUUAAGCCCGCCGCCUGGGGAGUACGGCCGCAAGGCUGAAACUUAAAGGAAUUGGCG